rnacentral:lncRNA from 1 species
GAGGAGGAGGAGGAGGAGGAGGAGCAGGAGCAGGAGCAGGAGCAGGAGCAGGAGCAGGAGCAGGAGCAGGAGCAGGAGCAGGAGCAGGAGCAGGAGCAGGAGGAAGCAGCCUGCUGUGCUGGCUAAGAUGUGGGAUGGGAGGGUAGAACGUUGGCAAGGACAGAAAUGAGUUUCCCACCCUAUGUGUAUGCCAGAGUCUCCAUUCAAGUUCAGCAGCGCCUGGCCAAGCCUUGGUGAGCCUUGACACCUGCCAGCCUUCCUCUUCCUCACCGUGACUGUCCACCAACAGAGCAGGCAUGUGCUGAGCGCCCGCUUCUCUCCAGCCUCCCGAGACUUGGGAACACAGAGACAGCGUCUACAAUGCAGUCUUCAGCAACGGCCCCGUAUAGUCCUCUCAGGCUCUGAGAGGAUUUCAUACUUUUAUCAAGAGAGUCUCACUCUGUUCCCCUUUGGGAAAGAAACGAAGAUGAAUUUGCUAUUGGAGAAUCCUUUAAAAGGAAGCACACUGUUUCCAACGGAUUUUCCAA